CCCUGCCAUUUGUACACACCGCCCGUCGCUACUACCGAUUGAAUGGCUGAGUGAGGCCUUCGGACUGGCCCAGGGAGGUCGGCAACGACCACCCAGGGCCGGAAAGUUGGUCAAACUCCGUCAUUUAGAGGAAG
rnacentral:rRNA from 1 species